GCCAGGCGUUGUGGCGGGCGCCUGUAGUCCCAGCUACUUGGGAGGCUGAGGCAGGAGACUCGCUUGAGCCCAGGAGUUGGAGGUUGCUGUGAGCUGUGAUGCCAUGGCACUCUACCCAGGGGGACAGCUUGAGGCUCUGUCUCAAAAAAAAAAAAAAAAAGAAGUUGAAGAAACUGAGGCACAGAGAGAUUAACUUGCCAAAGUUAUAGUUAGAGCUAAAAUUCAAAUCAGUUAAAGACUGCAUUCUUUUUUUUUUUUUUUUUUUUGAGACAGAGCCUCAAGCUGUCCCCCUGGGUAGAGUGCCGUGGCAUUACAGCUCACAGCAACCUCCAAC
rnacentral:SRP_RNA from 1 species